rnacentral:rRNA from 1 species
GAACGCUAGCUACAGGCUUAACACAUGCAAGUCGAGGGGCAUCAGGAAGAAAGUUUGCUUUCUUUGCUGGCGACUGGCGCACGGGUGAGUAACACGUAUCCAACCUGCCCUUUACUCGGGGAUAGCCUUUCGAAAGAAAGAUUAAUACCCGAUAGCAUAAUGAUUCCGCAUGGUUUCAUUAUUAAAGGAUUCCGGUAAAGGAUGGGGAUGCGUUCCAUUAGGUUGUUGGUGAGGUCACGGCUCACCAAGCCUUCGAUGGAUAGGGGUUCUGAGAGGAAGGUCCCCCACAUUGGAACUGAGACACGGUCCAAACUCCUACGGGAGGCAGCAGUGAGGAAUAUUGGUCAAUGGGCGCUAGCCUGAACCAGCCAAGUAGCGUGAAGGAUGAAGGCUCUAUGGGUCGUAAACUUCUUUUAUAUAAGAAUAAAGUGCAGUAUGUAUACUGUUUUGUAUGUAUUAUAUGAAUAAGGAUCGGCUAACUCCGUGCCAGCAGCCGCGGUAAUACGGAGGAUCCGAGCGUUAUCCGGAUUUAUUGGGUUUAAAGGGAGCGUAGGUGGACUGGUAAGUCAGUUGUGAAAGUUUGCGGCUCAACCGUAAAAUUGCAGUUGAUACUGUCAGUCUUGAGUACAGUAGAGGUGGGCGGAAUUCGUGGUGUAGCGGUGAAAUGCUUAGAUAUCACGAAGAACUCCGAUUGCGAAGGCAGCUCACUGGACUGCAACUGACACUGAUGCUCGAAAGUGUGGGUAUCAAACAGGAUUAGAUACCCUGGUAGUCCACACAGUAAACGAUGAAUACUCGCUGUUUGCGAUAUACAGUAAGCGGCCAAGCGAAAGCAUUAAGUAUUCCACCUGGGGAGUACGCCGGCAACGGUGAAACUCAAAGGAAUUGACGGGGGCCCGCACAAGCGGAGGAACAUGUGGUUUAAUUCGAUGAUACGCGAGGAACCUUACCCGGGCUUAAAUUGCAGUGGAAUGAUGUGGAAACAUGUCAGUGAGCAAUCACCGCUGUGAAGGUGCUGCAUGGUUGUCGUCAGCUCGUGCCGUGAGGUGUCGGCUUAAGUGCCAUAACGAGCGCAACCCUUAUCUUCAGUUACUAACAGGUCAUGCUGAGGACCCUGGAGAGACUGCCGUCGUAAGAUGUGAGGAAGGUGGGGAUGACGUCAAAUCAGCACGGCCCUUACGUCCGGGGCUACACACGUGUUACAAUGGGGGGUACAGAAGGCAGCUAGCGGGUGACCGUAUGCUAAUCCCAAAAGCCUCUCUCAGUUCGGAUCGAAGUCUGCAACCCGACUUCGUGAAGCUGGAUUCGCUAGUAAUCGCGCAUCAGCCACGGCGCGGUGAAUACGUUCCCGGGCCUUGUACACACCGCCCGUCAAGCCAUGGGAGCCGGGGGUACCUGAAGUACGUAACCGCAAGGAUCGUCCUAGGGUAAAACUGGUGACUGGGG